GUAACCUGAGUGAUCUGCUGGAAAAGCUCAAGUGGGCAAAAGACCAUGAUGCAGAGGCAAAGAAGAUAGCAAAAGCAGGACAAGAAUUCGCGAGAAAUAAUCUAAUGGGUGAUGAUAUAUUCUGUUAUUACUUCAAACUGUUCCAGGGCUAUGCAAAUUUACAAGUGAACAAGCCCCAAAUUCGAGAGGGUAUGAAGAGGGUCGAGCCCCAGUCUGAGGAUGACCUCUUCCCUUGCACAUGCCAUAGGAGAAAGGCCAAAGAUGAAUUCUGAUAAGCAAAAUAUCUUCUGUCAAAUGAUGGUGCUCUGAAGACACUUUACUAUAAAGAUUAUUUUUAAAUUUUGAACGUGCUCAUUCAUAGUUUGGGGUCAUAUCCUUGUCUGACAACUCACCUUUUACAACAGAAUCUUCUUUUCAGGGAGAUACCCUUUGCUUCUCAGAUGUAAUGCACCUUAUGCUUAUUUUCCAACAGUGAAAAUGAGUCAUACAGAG
ensembl:processed_transcript